UGGUUUGCGUAGAGCAGAGGCUCUCUUGGGUGGGCGGGUUGCGCUUGGUUCGAUGUGCCCUCUCGAAGCCGAGAGUUGGCCGUGCCCGGGUUGCAUUUGAUUCGAUGUGUCCUCUCCAAGCCAGGAGUUGGCCAUGCCCCUCUAGCUGUAGUGCUGGAGUGGGCUCGAUCUUAGAGUGGAGGGGGAUGCAUGAGGCUAGUUUCACAAAGCAGCGAUUACCUCCCGCUCUUGGCAGUCGUAGGAUAACACGUUGGUGCGUGGACUGCCCAAUCAAACCCUAGAGCUCCAUACUCACAUGGAAAACCA
rnacentral:SRP_RNA from 1 species